UUUACAGAUAGAUUAUUUUUCACAUUUUCUUCCACUGACUGAAAGAUGAUCUAUUGGAAUAUAGAAAUGUUACCAUUAUUAACUCCUGGCUUUUGGUGGAUGUCAUCAUGGUUGGAACAGAUGGUCAUUACACAUCUGCUUGGAGUUGCGCCAUUGCACCUUGCUGUUUUUUUUCUAGACUUGGUAUUUGGGGUUCCAACUAUCUACAUUGGAUAAUUGUUGUAUUUUCCAGUUUGAGAGCGUCGCUGCACCUGCAUUUUUUUGGAGAAAAAGCUCAAGAAACCAAGCAAUCUUUGCGCCAUUUUGUUUUUCUGGUACGGCAUAUAAAUGCGGAGUUAGGGCAGAAAUUGUUCGUCAAAACUAAAAUGCCAAUGCCGCAUUAUUUAAAAAUUAUGGAAUGCUGUAAGCCAAGUAUUUUAUUACAUGAAAUAGUUUUUAUCAAAAAAGAUUUGAUAA